UACGUAGGGUGCAAGCGUUGUCCGGAAUUAUUGGGCGUAAAGAGCUCGUAGGCGAUUUGUCGCGUCUGCUGUGAAAACGCGAGGCUCAACCUCGCGCCUGCAGUGGGUACGGGCAGACUAGAGUGCGGUAGGGGAGAUUGGAAUUCCUGGUGUAGCGGUGGAAUGCGCAGAUAUCAGGAGGAACACCGAUGGCGAAGGCAGAUCUCUGGGCCGUUACUGACGCUGAGGAGCGAAAGCGUGGGGAGCGAACAGG
rnacentral:rRNA from 1 species